AUCUAUGACACCUGGAGAUAGGAGCUUCAACAAGCCUGGGAAAAGGAAGAGGGUCCAAGAUGACCUGCUACAAGACAAGGGGAAAUCAGGGCAGCCUCCUGAUUCAGUUCCAGAAAAGCAGUUCCAGAAAAGCGAAGGAGGAGUUGGACAAGAAGCAAGAGGAAAGAAUGGCCAAGGGAUAGGAAGCAAGCAACGGUGAGCUGUGUGAAUCGAAGUGCUUCGUCGAGUGUUGAGGCUUUGAGGAGACAAUCAUCGAGGGGUUUGAAUUCCUAGGGACAGGAGAGUUGCCCUUGAGUCCUUCAUUGAAUUAAGUACGUUGUUUGUCGUGGAGGCAAAGAGUUUGUCGCCGUCAAGGGGGAAGAUCUUCAAUGGUAUUCUGGACCUCUCAAGGAAAAGAAGAGGAGGAAAGCCAUGAACCUCAGCACAUGACCACUGCUGUAGCCGUGGAUCUUGCUGCAGUAUUGGCUGCAUCGAGGGCCACUUGAAGAGCGGUACGUGAGAUGAUUUGUCCCUUGGA